rnacentral:misc_RNA from 1 species
GUCCAUGAUGUAAGCCAUGUACCUGCAAGUAUUUAGAUUAGAAAUUAAAUUAAAUCCAGUAACAGUGUGCUUGAUGAAAGAGACAAAAUUUUGCAACAGAUAAAUAAGAGCAUCCUGAUUGUUUAUGACCCCCAAGGGCCUUAAAGUGGGGCCGCGUCAGAUAAGGCCCAUGUUUUUUAUGUUUAUAGGACCAUCUCCAAGAGUUCCCAAAACCCACUCCCAAUCUAGUUUUUUUUGGCAAGAUUGGGAAAAAAGUGCUCUCCAACAACUCCUUAUCUCAACUCUUUCUUUCCACACUUGUAAAAAUCGACCACACCAUGUGGAUAUAUACAUGUGCACCAUUGCGCCAAUCUCUACUCCUAUUAAGAAGCAAAAGGGUGUGUCCACAGGGGGCGAGGCCGUGCCCACGCCCCCGUCUUCCCCGGCAGCGACG